GUUGAUCAUGGCUCAGGAUGAACGCUAGCGACAGGCUUAACACAUGCAAGUCGAGGGGCAUCACGGGAGUAGCAAUACAACUGGUGGCGACCGGCGCACGGGUGAGUAACGCGUAUGCAACCUACCUAUCAGAGGGAAUAACCCGGCGAAAGUCGGACUAAUACCGCAUAAAACAGGGGCACCGCAUGGUGAUAUUUGUUAAAGAAAUUCGCUGAUAGAUGGGCAUGCGUUCCAUUAGGUAGUUGGUGAGGUAACGGCUCACCAAGCCGACGAUGGAUAGGGGAACUGAGAGGUUGGUCCCCCACACUGGUACUGAGACACGGACCAGACUCCUACGGGAGGCAGCAGUGAGGAAUAUUGGUCAAUGGGCGGGAGCCUGAACCAGCCAAGUCGCGUGAAGGAAAGAAGGAUCUAUGGUUCGUAAACUUCUUUUGCAGGGGAAUAAAGUGCAGGACGUGUCCUGUUUUGUAUGUACCCUGAGAAUAAGGAUCGGCUAACUCCGUGCCAGCAGCAGC
rnacentral:rRNA from 1 species